rnacentral:tRNA from 1 species
ACUAAUAUGGCAGAUAAGUGCAAUGAAUUUAAGCUUCAUAUAUAAAGGUUUAUCCUUUUAUCAGUA